rnacentral:lncRNA from 10 species
CUCCUCUUCCCUCCUUCCCUCCUCGCAGCCCCAAAACCCGCGACCCCUCUCCGACCCCUCCCGGCGCCCUCCCCUCCCCGCACCACCGCACCUUCCCAUCUCCCACCCUUCCCAACGCCCGCCUCGGCAGGGAUGCGGCCCUAAGACUUGCAGGAAGCGCGGGUUCGACCCCGGCGCCCUAGCAACCCCUGCCCUCGCCGCUCUAGAGAGCGGGUCUCCUGGCCGGGCCCUCCUGGGUCUCCGUAGCCGCGAUCGCCAGACGCGGCGAGCGGAAGGGCCCAGCCCCGCCCUCUCCGGGCACAUGACUCGGGCCUGGCCAUUCACAGUGCAGCAUCGUCCAGCCUUAGUGAUUGGGCCAUCGGAGAGCACGUGACAACAGCUAGGCCAAUUAGAGCUAGGCCAAUUAGAGACCACCCGUUUCUAUUUAUGGUGGAGCCGGCGAUCGGCGUGCGGUUGGAAGUGGUGUCCCUGAGGCACCUGCUCGCCCUUUUCCUGCGCCUCCGCAACGUCGGCUGCGAAUGAGUCUCCUAAAGGACGCCCGGGAGGAUCGGAAACAGCCGAGUCCCGGCGCGGGCAGUGUCCUGCGCUCCUCCCCGGGGUCUGGCCGGGGUGGGCCCGAGGCCCCCGGGCCCCCGGUUACCGCCGCGGGCGCGUCUGCGUCCUGACCCGGAGGGACCCGCGGGCCGGGCCGUACCAGUGAUGCAAGAUGGUCCUUUCUGAGCAGAGCUCCCCUCGCUCAGUGCUCCUUUGUUUCACGUAGAAGAUCUUCUUGAGGGGACUGUGUGGCCAGUGCAGCCCAGGCCUCCCCACCCUGCACCGUUCAACAGAAGAGCAGCUGACGCAGGGGGCCCUCAACAUGCUCACCCAAAAGUCAGCGAGAUUCUGCACCGGCCCACUAGCCUUCCAAUUGUAAACUAAAAAUAAAAUCUUGGCCAGGCACGGUGGCUCAUGCCUGUAAUCCCCGCACUUUGGGAGGCAGAGGCAGGUGGAUCACCCUGAGGUCAGGGGUUCGAGACCAGCCUGGCCAACAUGGCAAAACCCCGUCUCUACUAAAAAUACAUAAAAAUUAGCCAGGCGUGGUGGCACACACCUGUAAUUCCAGCUACUCGGGAGGCUGAGGCAGGAAAAUCGCUUGAACCUGGGAGGCAGAGGUUGCAGUGACCUGAGAUCGUGCCACUGCACUCCAGCCUGGGUGACAAUGAGACUCCAUCUCAAAAAAAAAAAAGAAAAAAAAAUCCUAAGCCCCCCAACUACUGAAAAGACCCCUCUUGGCCAAGGGGUCCCAGAGACACCUUAAAAACUGAGUUUCCAGCCAGACGUGGUGGCUCACACCUGUAAUCCCAGCAUUUUGGGAGGCCAAGGCGGGUGGAUCACCUGAGGUCAGGAGUUCGAGACCAGCCUGGCCAACAUGGCAAAACCCCGUCUCUACUAAAAAUACAAAAAAAUUAGCCAGGUGUGGUGGUGGAUGCUUGUAAUUUCAGCGACUCUGGAGGCUGAGGCAGGAAAAUUGCUUGAAUCUGUUUCAGUGAGCCAAGAUCGUACCACUGCACUCCAGCCUGGGCAACAGAGUGAGACUCCAUCUCAAAAAAAAAAGCCAAAAAACUGAGUUUCCAGCCGUGACGGGAUGGUAGGUCAGAGGCACCUCAUUCUACCCCCUCCCUUGUGUGGUUUAGACAGAAUUGACCGGUGUUCAUGUUAAAAUAGAGAUCAUAAGACUAAGAACAGGCUCUGUGGCAAUAAAAUACCAAAUUAUAAACAGGACCUCAGGCCAGGCCUGGUGAAAGUAAGUCGUGCAUCCCUGCACGUGAAGAAUCAACUCUGUUCUAAAGGCCGCAGGUUUCUCUUUUUCUGUAGCAGCUAAACAAGCACUAGCCUCAAGAUAAGCAGCAUUGAAACAACCGCAGCUCCUCCCCCUGCCGACCCUGGCCCCACACCCCUGCUCCACCAGCCGUAACUAGAGCUUUCCUUGGACAAGAGACUCGUUUCAGUAACUUUUCCCUGAUAAGAGACCCUGACCAUAGACGGGUUCUGGCUGGUUUACAGAGAUUGCACCCUCAUGUGCCUUCAUGUCCUGAAAGUACUUUUUGAGGUAUACCACCUAAUUGUAAUACGCUUACAUGCUGCCUUCACCCCAAGGUGAACAUGGGUCAUAUGUAACAUGCAUGUUUAUCCAGCACACGUGUCCGAAUAAACAUGCAUGUAUAUUCGCAACGCCUCCUGUAACUUGUUGAGUAUGUAUACCUGACCAACCCAUUCGGCUUACAUUCCUGUCUCACCGCACCCUCCCUCCAAGUACCUGUCUCUGGCCUUAGGCUGGAGGCCACACUUCCUAGCCUGUCAGAAUGGCCACCUUACAGGCUAUAAGACUUUAUAAGAAGUAAAGUCUCCUUUCUGAGUGUAUAGAUCUUGUGAUUUUUAACUUAAC